rnacentral:rRNA from 1 species
CCCUUUUUUUCCCUCUUUUUUCUUCCUUCCUGGGCGUAAAGGGCCAGUAGGCGGCCAACUAAGUCACACGUGAAAUCCCCGGGCUCAACCCGGGAACUGCGUCCGAUACUGGCAGGCUUGAAUUCGGGAGAGGGAUGUGGAAUUCCAGGUGUAGCGGUGAAAUGCGUAGAUAUCUGGAGGAACACCGGUGGCGAAGGCGGCGUCCUGGACCGAUAUUGACGCUGAUGCGCGAAAGCCAGGGGAGCAAACGGGA